CUUCUACAACAAUUACUACAAGUGAUUGUGUUAUGUGUACAUCAUCACGUACUGAUCGAUGUUGAUACACAUGAUACAGUGAAAUAUAAUUGGAUUAAAAUGUCGUCAAUUAAAUUUAAAAAUAAAAAAUGAAAAAAAAGUUUCCUCACUUUCUUCUUGACAUUUCAUCUAUCUUUAGAACUUCCUAUUCGUACAAAUAGCAUUAUCCUUACUACAUUACCCAAGUUACCAAAAGUAAAACAGCUUUCAAAAAAAAAAAAAAAGAAUCAAAUGCUCAUCUCUGAUACAAUCAGAUAAUAUUUAGAUUGAGUUAGCUAUCAGAAGGGGUAACAGAGAAGCAGAUGGAUCGAUAUCAAAGGCCGCGAAAAAACUGUUUUACCUAGUGACAAAUAGAUGCUUGACACCUUCUAUUAUGCCAUCUGCCAAUCCCCUUUGUCAGUGUAGCAAAACUCAUUUAGACCUCCAUCCAGCUUGAUCCACACUCAAAAGUCACUUUACACGAACCACAACAGUGUAAUUGUGUAAAGGUCCGGAAAGAAAAGAUGGCUAGUACAUGAGCAGCCCACAAACAUACACUCUGUCAACUGCUUGUAAUCAUUGGCAGCAUUCCACUUCAACAGAAGUUUCUCCGUGUCCGUGUCCGUGUCCGUGCCUGUUCCCGUGCUCAUGCCUGUGCCCGUGUCUUCGACCUGGUUUGUCCGAGGAAGGAGGGAAAGGCUCCGGUGGAGGGACAGGUGUGACUACAGCACGCAAGAUUUACACUUGCAACCUAAGUUGCACAAAGUGGUGGGAAAACUGGGGGAUUUGGCUCUGCGUUCCAACGUACAGUCCUAGAAAUAUCACAAAGAAGAGUGCAAGCAGAAGGGGGAAGAUUUGAUUCUUGGCUCUUAGACCUAAGAUAUUAUGCAUGAAAAUAAGAGCAAAACUUGAAGUAAUCCUUCUUCCUACUUAUAUAUGUAUGCUUUACAUGUUCCCUAAUUUGAUACGACUUCAAGUUGGCCGAAGAAUCAGCUUAGAUUGGUUAAGAAAGCAUCAUUCAAUUUGCAUGAGAUAUGCAUGUUUGGUAAAGUUUAGCUUUCAUUUAGGUAUUGAAUGGGAAACUUGAAGUAAAAAAAUUUAUAGUGCAUGUUUAGUACGCAGUAUUGAAUAUAAUUAUCUUUUACUGUCCAAUCUUCCUUGCCAACUAAGCCUUUAAGAUUUCAAUAAGAGAAGGACUCCCAUGACAUUAUCAUUCGUGUUAAAAUUUACCAUACCUAGUAGAUGGAUGAGAAAGAACACGACGAAUUUUUAUUCAUCAAAGAUUUCAAAGUUGUUUCUUCGUUCCCAGCUACCAUGAAUUCUAUGUCCUACUUAGCCAUUUCUCAACUCUCUCCCCAUUUCCCUCAUCGAGCAACUCAACGAACGUAUCCUUGAUCAAAAGAAGUGGGUCGACAUCGACCAAAUCCUCACCAUCGUACGCUUUACCCUCAGCAUUGCAGUCUGAAUCCAAAUAAAAAAUCCCAGAAUGCUUUGUGAAUAUGCUUGAGAAUGCAUCACAAAAUUUCCCCAAAACAGGCACUGGAAUCCUCUUAUAAAGGGACAGAGAAAGCAACUCACGGAACCCAUAAAAGUAUGACCAUAUGUGUUAAUAAUUUGAUAUUUCAAUAUAUAUGAUUAGUGUUUUAAUUUCUAUUCAUACGUAUGAUCAUUUUUCUUUUAGGUAGAUUUCGAGUCAGUGUUAUUUUGAACUCAUGAAUUUAGAGUUUGCAGGCUAAAUAAUUGACGAGGGCUCAAUGAACUAGAAAUCAAUAAGAAAAAAGGGGAAAAAAAAUUGUUCUCUGACAGCUUAAAAGGGUUCAUAAUUCUCAGAAGAAGAUAUUAGAUUCAUGUUUGGUGGAAAUCUGAACUACAAAGAUUGGGCAAGGAAAGGAAUGGCGAGCAAUUCUUCAAUUGAUUUUCAUUUUUUAGGAAGCAUAUUGCAAGGUUUUUGAUGAAAGAAGUAAAGUCGAAUACCAGUGAUGAUGUAAUCAGCAAUAAACUUGACAUUGAAGAUAAUCUUGAGAAAAUACAAAAAUGAAUGAUAUAUGUUGGUCGAAUAUCAAAAUAUUCAAAGGAAUUGAAGAAGAGAACAAAGGUGAAGUAUUAUCCCGAACACAAAAUCGUUGUUCUCAAAUGAUAUUUGUCUACUCUAGAAUUUAAUCAGUGCUUAAGGGACUCUUGACAAGCGGUUUGUAG
rnacentral:lncRNA from 1 species